GUCCCAGUAGCGCAAUGGAUAACACGUUGAACUUCUAAUCCAAAGGACAUGGGUUCGAAUCCCACCUGGGAUG